AGGAUCUACUAGGUGCCAGACAAAAAUGCUAUGAUAUAGAAUAUAGCAUUUAAAAGGAUAGUUAUAGUCCCUCUCUCCAACAAACUUGUAAUAGUCCACUACUUCAUCACCUCGAAUAAGGCACAGAAAUUAUGGUGGCAUGUUUGACUAUUUGGGACAAAAUCAAAAAUACGAAUAUAUCAAAGGUGGAGGCCUGAAUUGGUAUCAUGGACAAUUCAAUCACUGGACAAGGGAUUUGUUGGGAUAUCCCCAACUCUAAAUGUUAACUUGUGCACAGUGAGAAUAUCAGGAGGAGUUAAACAGACUAGCAAUUAUUCAAAAUUUGUUAGUGGCUUAUACAACCUGCUUUUAAAAUGUCCUUCACAGACUGGAUUAAGAAAAUGUGGCACAUAUACACCAUGGAAUACUAUGCAGCCAUAAAAAAGGAUGAGUUUGCGUCCUUUGUAGGGACAUGGAUGCAGCUGGAA